UCCAUAACUGAAGCUUCCUAAUCUUUGGAAUUCAUUGUCCAAAAUCACCAUGUAUAGCCCUUUGUUCACCACCAUCAUCACUAUAGAGGAUGGCUCUACCGACGUGUGAGGUUAUUUCUGCAUUUGAAGCUCUUUCUUUUUCUUCAUCAUCGUCAUCUCCCACCAACAUCUCCAUGUUCACAUGGAUCUCCUUGAGUGGGUUGGGAUGAUAGAUGAGACAAAGAUGGUUUUGUAAGAAUCAUGAUAUGGCUUUGAGACUCUUGGAAGCUACUUAUAGAUUUUGAAGUUACAUUUUUUUUUUCAAAAAAAAAAAAAAAAUAUUGUAAUAUGUGGUUCUCAUUUUGUUUGUAUGAUCUAACUUUGAGUAAGUUAGUAUAUAUUAUAAUUAGUGUGAGAAGAUAUGAAUUAUUUUUUAAAUUCUUUUUUUGAAGGCCAUGUUUGGAAGUUGAAAUUUUGGUGUGGAAAGAAAAUGUCAAGGUAAAAAGAGUGUAGAGAACGAAAAAAAUACAACAUAGGUCAUGUGGCAUUCUCCAUGCAUUAUUUCUAUGUUUUUUUUUUCA